GUCUGCCUUUUAAACUGGACAUUGAUGCCAGUGCUGUUGGGGUAGGAGCUGUUCUUCUACAGGAUGAUAAAGAUGGAAUAGAGCACCCUGAUGUACAACCAGAAUCAAAGACUUAUGCGGUGGGCUUUAGUCGUUCAGGAAUACAACCUUAAGAUCUGCCACAAGAAAGGGUCGGAGAAUGUGUUGGCAGAUGCUUUGUCACGUGCCCUUUAAGGUUUUUUAUUUUGUACAUUCCAAACAUUUAUGUUUGGACUUAGAAGGGUGGGGGUGUUACAUGCCUGCCAGGCUGUUUGUUUUUCUUUCCCCUCCCCCCUCCCCUUUGCUUCUACACAGGUAGCAGAAGCUGGGAUCCAUCUUCCCUUGAUUGAAUCUCUCCACCUUUGGACCAAUCAGGAUCCAGGGAGGUCCUAUAUAAGAAAGCCACUUAGAGAUCCUAGGCCCUCUCUUUUCCUUGGCUUGCUUGCUGCAUGGUUGUGUUCUGUGUGUCUAAUGGUCUGUGGUGGGAGUUAGUGGACAAGGUAAGGUUGGGGUACCCUGUACAUCUCAUCACGUAGGAAUAUUUUUGUUAAACACACUAGGUAAGUAGGUGGAUGCCACCCUUGUAAAGUUUUGGUGAAUCUUUUUGUUAGAUUAGUUAAGCAGGGUUUUUGUUUCAUUUGUUUUAUGUAGCUUAGACCGUAGGUAGGCCCUGUUUUUGUUUUAUUAUUUUCUUUGAUUUGGCGCCACCUAAUCGUCCCUUUCUCCCCCACCAUUUGUAUGAGUUCCUUGGGAUUUUCUGUAAACAAUAAAUCCCUGAUUUUUCUUUGCUAACAUUCA